ensembl:lncRNA
UCUCUCGGCUGAGAACCAGAGGCUGAAGGAGAAGAGACCUGAUCAGGAGGGGGGGAGGACCCAUCUCUCGGCUGAGAACCAGAGGCUGAAGCGGCAGGUAUGUGUGCUGUGGGAGGUGGUGAUCCAUUUCCUGACUGAGAAUCAUCAGCUGAAGCAGCCGGAUCAGGAUCCUGUGGAUCUGAAAUCCCUUCUUCCAGUUGAGUUCCCAAAGGUGGAGGAACAAGACCAUGAUCAGGACGAGGUGACCCGACUCUUGGCUGAGAACCAGAGGCUGAAGGAGCAGGUAGACUCACUGACGGAUGUUGUGUCCCAUAACCUGGCUGAGAACAACAAACUGAAGCUGCAGCGCCCUGAUCGGGAAGAGCCGGUGUCCCGCCUGAAGCAAGAGGGGCCGCUCAGGAAUAGACAGGGAGACUCUGGAACCCCCCAAACAGCUAAAAGAGUUUCGGCUUCAUUGCCCAGAGGAAUAACAUCUGAUGUAGACUUCUUUGUCCAGUUCCGGACUUCUGGGAAAACAGGUGGCUGCGAGGAGAAGUUCUUAAAGUAUGUCUCAAAGCACCCGUUCCGCAAAGGAGUCUCUCUAAAAGUGAAGGAGUUCAGGGAGACCUCGAAACACCUCCUUCUGCUCUUCUGCCCCAUAGCAUCCCGCAUGGGCACGGACAUCGAAAACGCCCUCGAGGGACUCAGUGGUGAGUAAUCAGAGGGUGGGGAAGCCAUCCUGUUCAUUUGUAGCUGUCAGACUGGCAGUAGAGUCUUGGAGCAGGGUGAAAAACAUAAUGAAUACUCACAAAUUUUUCUCCUCUUUGAUUGAAAGGGGUCUUGACACAUCAAGACAUCCUAUAUACACACAAUAUAUAUACAUGGUGCCUCGCUUAAUGGGUGCCCCAUUUAACAACAAAAUCGCAUAGCAACGAAGAUUUUGCGAUCGCUUUUGCGAUCACUUUGCGAUAGUCUGAAUGGGGUUUUUUCGCUUUGCGAUGAUUGGUUUCCUGUUUCACUUACCGAUUAUUGCAAAGCGAUGAUUUCCCCCCAGCUGAUCGGCGGUUUCAAAAUGGCUUCCAGGUUAAAAAAAUGCCUGCCCGCUGUAUUCUGGGACGGAUUCCUCGCUUACCGGGCAGCGAAAAUGGCCGCUGUAUGGAGGAUCUUCGCUUAAAGGUGAGUCUGAAGCCCAUAGGAAUGCAUUGAAGGGGUUUCAAUACAUUCCUAUGGGCUUUUUAAUAUCGCAUAGCGACGUUUUAGUUCUGCAGGAUUUUUGCGGAAUGAAUUAUCGUCGCUAUGCAAGGCACCACUGUAUAUAAAACAGACAACUCCUUGGUGAGUUUUAGCUCCUGUCGGAAAGAGUGGAAAGGCCAGCCCUGUUUUUCCUGAGCAGCAAUAGUAGAGGGAUUAAAAGAUACCCAUUUUUUACAGAAUGGAAGGCCUUUCGCAUACAUCUGCACACAUAAACUAUUUCCUUUCUCCAAAAUACAAGGAAGAGGUAUUUGGGGGGGGGGGCAGAAAUGCAAGUAAUCCACUAAGUAUCUUGUCUAGCACCAACAAAUAUUUCAUCUUUCUGCAGAUUUAGGGGGUUGGAGACUAAAGGGAGCAUGCAAUAAGGAUCAGAGGGAAGUGGAGCACAGGAAAAAGUGUGCUGAAUAACGCUGGUCAAUGACCGUAACAAAGAUUGAAUUGAAAAAAAGGACUCUUUCCCUAUGGGUUUCCCUAUCUCUUCAGUCUCCCCAUAAUAAAUAAAAUGUGUUGGUCUUGAAGAGGUCA